ensembl:lncRNA
GGAGUGGGGAGCUCGUUGGUUGAGAUUUUACCAUGAGGAUCCAGGGGAGAGCUGAGUGGGGGGUUGGGGCAGGAGGGAGCAAAGCAGGUCCAUCUGUUUGGUCCAUCUGCUCGCAUCUGUUGGUUCACGCUGCCAGCUGUGCAGCUAUGAAGACAGUAGACUGUGGGAAGGAGUACAUUGUCUCCCUACUACGUGCACAUACACGAGCAGACACAAGGCGUCCAUAGGUGAAAGGGAAGUUCCCUUCUAGUCCCCUCCUUUUGUGCCUCCCAUCUGUCCUCAUCCUAGACCAGUAGUUUUCAAUCUUGAUUGCAUGUCAGAAUCACUUGCAAAAUUUUGUAAACAUCCAGAUUCCUUUCAGAACUUGGCAGAGAACUCGUGAUUGGUGUGUCUGGUUUAGGCCUGAUGUGCAGUCUUCUCCCCUCCGCUCCCCUCCUCUCUGCUUCCUUUUUUUGGAGACGGCUCACAAUCCUCCUGUCUCAGCCCCUGGAGCACGGAGAUUAUAGGCAUGUACCACCACACCUGGCAGUGUCUUUUCUAAAGGGUCACCGUGGGCCUCCAGUUCCCAAGGAAGGCGCAGGUCAUGGUGCAGUCCUGGCUGAGGAGCAGCGUGUGUGGCUUGAGCGGGGUGAGGAAGCGAGGUGUGUGGCGCCAGUCCUCUUGCUGGUAGGGCUUCACCUUCAUGCUCAGGUCCUCCACUGUGGGGGUGGGGGGGCACAGGGCAGGUGGUGGUGAGUGAUCCCCAGGACCCACCUGCCACCCUGGUUUUUGAGCUAGGAAGGUGCCCUGGAGACCCAGCUUUGUGGAACCACAGAGAUCUGGGCCAGAUUCUCAGAUGCCAGCAACUGUGGGACCCCCCGUUGUACUGAUUCCUAAGGGCUCCUCCCCUAGGGUCCCCCACCCCACCGCCUACCCCCAUCCACUCCAGGAUUCCUCAGCUCAAACGGAGGUUUGCAUGUUUUUACAUCUUCCCAGGUUAGAGGGGCCUUUCUAGCCCCAGCUUGUCAGACCAAGGUACUGGGUAUUCGAAACUGUUACCCAGACCCCGUGUAAUUUUAACUUGUGCCUUCUCUCUGUCAUUCGGCCCCACAUUUCCUGUGUUUACUGAUGCUUCUCCACUUAUAAUCCCUUCCCUCCCUGCUUCCCAGGUUUCUUUGUUUUUUUUUGAGACAGGGUCUCAUUAUGUACCCGAGGCUGGCGAGGCUGGCCUUGAACUUGUGGCAAUCCUCCUGCCUCAGCCUCCUGAAUGCUAGGAUUACAGGUGUGUGCCACCAUGCCCAGCAGGUUUCCCACAUUUUAUCCUGAGCUCCCCAGAGUCCCUUCCCAGUCCUCAGCCCAAUCACCCCUCCCUUCAGAGCAGACCAGGAGGUCCCCCCACCCCUGCCACUCUCUGUCCCUCUACUGUCACCUCCAUCCCCAGGGACACCUCCCCACCUCCAUGGCAGGCUCACCGUGCAGAGUCUCCCUAAGAUACUUCUCUCCUAAGCUUCCUCAACAUCUAUACCCCACCCCCUUCCAUCUCUGCAGCUGUCUGAUUUCAUCUUAAUCCCUGGUACCCUUUUCUGACCCUUAUGUCAUCUCUGCAUCAGGGGUCCCAAAUCUCAAAUCCCCUACUCACUCUGGUCCUUUUUUUUUUUGGUACCGGGGAUUGAACUCGGGUCCUUGCGCUUGCGCAGCAGGCAGCAAAACCACUGAGCUAAAUCCUCGGCCUGCUCUGGUCCUUAUUGACGAGCCAGGGGUCCUUAGAGUCCAGUGGGUUGCUGUCACCAAUUUCAUUCCGAGCUUCCCCUCUGAAGUAGUACUUCCUGCCUGGGAGCAGCCCUGUCACCGUGUACUUGUUGCUGAAGACCUGCUCAGCUGCCAUGAACGAGGUGGGGCUGCUUACGUCCUGCUUCAUGAUGACAUAGUGGGAGUCACUGUCCUCCUUAACGUUAGGGCUAUGGUUCCAGGUCAGAGUCACAGUGUUGGGGACCUCCUCAAACAGCUGUAGGUUUGUAAGGGGCUGGGGAAAUCUUGAAUGGUUGGAAGGUCUGUCAGCUACCCCAGGGCUGAAAUAUCCCAGCCACCUGCCUGCUGGAGGGCGGAUGGGGCACUUUUCUUUUUUUUGGUAUCCGGGAUGGAACUUGGGACCUUGCGCUUUCGAGGCAGGUGGCGGCACCAACUGAGGCAAAUACCCCCAAGGGCACUUCUCGUCAGAGCCCGAGGCAGCAGAUGUCCUGGAGUCACAAAACAUAUUUCUGAAUUGUCACUGCCAUUUAUAGCCCUGUGACCUUGAGCAAGUUAUUUAUCUUUUCUGAGACCUAUUUCCUCAAUUGUAAUAUAAGGACUAACAACAAUUACUCAUUUCAUACAAUGGGUAGAGUGCCCAGCAUACAGUUAGUAUUCAAUAAACAUUCAUUCUUUUCUUUCUGUG